UCCCUGGUGGUCCAGUGGUUAGGACUCGGCACUUUUCACUGCCGAGGAUAUUAAAUUUCCCAGGUUCAAUCCCUGGUCAGGGAA
rnacentral:tRNA from 1 species